rnacentral:lncRNA from 1 species
UUGAAAAAAAGUCAUGGUUUUGAAUAUACUUAUAUUGUUUUUAGAAGUUCAAAUUUAUUGUAAAUUUUAGGAUGUUACACAAUUGUAUUGGAUUGAGUGCGAAAUUUGAAAAUCCAAUUGGAUUACUUGAAGGCAAUGUUACUUUGUUAGUCUUAUUUAGCAUAAUUGUGUGCGGUUUUAUUUUUAGUUAUCGUAGUUAUAUUUGGUUAUUCGAUAGAAAGAGAUUAGAAUUGGUUGGAUAAUGGAUAACUACUGAAUUAAACCAAUAAAAAAAUAUCCAAUAGAUAGAAUCGAUCUAAUCCAACAUCCAAUUGGAUCGAUUUGGUUUGAUUUUUUUAUGAUGAAUUGGAUUGGACCGGUUGACAAAUCCAACAUCUAAUGGAUGAUUAGAUUGGAUUGGUUCCAUCGAAAUCCAUUGGAUUUGAACCGCUGAUCACCCAUAAUUUGGUUAUUAUGUUUUUUUCAAUCAGCUGCUGGAACAUGAUGGUUCUAAAAACAUUUUGCAAAAAGGUAAGAAUCAGCCAUAAAGUCACAUUACCUUUCAUUGUUGAUGGUUGUGGAAUGUGAACUACUUUUUAUUAAAUUAUAAAUUAUCUAAGGAUGAAACUGCAUUUCCUUUCUUCAUAUCACUAUAACACAUUACAUUAUUUUUGUAUGUUUUUAUAACAUCAAAUCUUUGUUGUGAAACAAGGUUUAUUAUUAACAUGAGUUGGUUUGAGCUUUAACAAAAUUUUAAGAUAAUUAACUAUUUCAUACAAAUGAUUGUUCCAUGGAUUAUAUCAUUAUUAUUAUUAUUAUUAUUAUUAUUAUUAUCAUUAUAAAUCUUAUAAUAGAAGUCACUUGUGACAUAUAUCCUUAUUAUUAUCAUUAUCAUCAUUAUAAAUCUUAUAAUAGAAGUCACUUAUGACGCGGUUCAAGAUAACUCCCUAUAUUGAAGUGCAAAUAAUAAAGAUACGAAUGAUGGAUGUUACGUAAUAAGAUUAUAAUUUGAAAUAGUAUGCUAGAAAGUAACAUGACAAACAAAUCCUGAAACCGUAAACAACAAACAUACAAAAGCCAGUUUGGUAUCAAGAACAAGGUUGGACCGAAACCGUAAACAACAAACAUACAAAAGCCAGUUUGGUCCAAAACCCGAAACCCGAUUUAGUACCCGGAACUGGACCGGACCGAACCCCGACCCGCUACACCUAAAAACGGUCCAGUUCUCGGGUAAGGUAAUUCAUGGUUUUCGGUCUUCAGGCUGGUCCGGUUCGGGUUCUGCUCGUUGCUCUAUAUUGAACCAUAUUAAUUUGAAACUACGAAAACUCUUCGGCUUAUAUUUUAAGUUUCUAUUUGGUGUGUUAGCUGAAAAAACUAGUUUUUAACUUAUAAGCUAGUUUAUCCAUAAACUAUCUCGGAUAACUUAGACAAAACUGCAAAAUUGGUCCUUGUGGUAUGCAUUUUUUCUGAGGUUUAAUCCAAACCUCGAUUUUUUUGGAUUGGUGGUCCUUUUUGGUCCCUUGAAAAAUUGAAAAGACUAAAAUGCCCUUCUGAACAGUUUAUAUGUUAUUUUCUAUUUAAUUUAAAAUUAUAUUAAUUAAAAAUAUAGGGCCCACCUCUUUCUUUCUUUCUUUCUUUCUCUCUCUCUCUCUCUCUCUCUCUAUAUAUAUAUAUAGCCAUUUGGGUUUGUCUUUGACAAACAUCUAAUAACAUCUUCAUAAAUUCAAGAACACUCAAGAACAUCUUAUGCCAUCACCACCAUUCGACCACCGUCCUCCACCACCACUGUCUGCCACCUCCAUCUCCACCUGAACUUUUUAUACCACUUUAUAUCCGCCUAAAAUCAUCCCAAAAACAAAAAUCAUACACAAAAUAUGGGUUUGUUCUUGAGUUUCCCCUUAAAAAUAAUCACUAGAUCUGAUGCCUCAUCAAGAGCUCAUGAACACACACACCCACCCACAUUCAAGAACACAUUCAUGAACCCCAUAUCUGAUGAGCACACAAACACAAACACACAUUAUAUCAGAUCUGAUGAAGGGUUUUUGGAUGAACACAUUCAAGAACAAAUUUUUGAACCCUAGAUAUAAGGAACACACGAACAAAAUCAGAUCGAGUUCAUGGGUUCUCGGGUUCUUCAUCCAAAAAACAAAGAUCUAAAACCAAAACGAACAUUUGACCCCUCAGUGGCAGAUUUCUUCGUCCCCAUCUUCCAAAAACCCAUAUUGUAUGUGUGUAUUUUGUGACAUCCCCGAUUUCACGGCCACAAAAGACCGAUUUGAUUAUGAUUAUUUAAAUCAGAAUAUUCUUUUCAAAAGAGUAAUAAUGUGGAAUUUGUUCCAAAAAAUAUGACAAUAUCAUUAUUAAAGCAUUUCCGAGGAAAUGUAUUUCAUUUAUAUUUAAAAACCUUGGGAUGUCAUGGUCAAUACAACAACAUAAGCAUAAAACGUAAUAUUACAGGCCUUACAAUAGUUUAUUAUUCUAUUGGCCUAUUCUCCUUUAAAUCUCACUCCAAAUUUAAACUCAUCACACCUAUGCUCUUACGCUGCUACCUGUGAAACAAAGAAACUGAGUGGGUUAGGCUUCGGAAAGCCUGAUGAGCACAUAGGGUUUUCAACCCACAAUAAUUAAAUUUAUUAAUUUCAUCAAUCAAUCAACUCGGUUAUCCGUUCCCGUUAUCCUCACUUUUUGUCCCUAAAACAUCUAAAUUAAGGGACUUAGCCUAAGGAUUUUUCAUCGGGGUGACAGCACUGCAUAGGGGAUUCCUCAACAAUAUAUGUUAAAAGGCAACCAUAGGGGAAUGGAGUACAUCUGGUGAACAUUUAGUUCAAAAACACCUACAUGUUUCGAGCCUACCACCGUUCCACUAGACUGUCUAGAAUAGUUUGUGGUCGUCAUCUAUACUCCGCUAGAUGACUGGAUCAUCUUAAACACUCUAGGCCUAUCAUUAUUUAUUUUAUCAUCUAUAUCAUCUACCCAUCUUUACCCUUUAUAUUUAUAGGUACAAAAUACAUACAUAGUUUAAAUCGAAUAAAACAUGUAUAUUUUGUUCAUCCAACAUACAUAUCAAGAACACAGAUAAUAUACACACAUAACACGUAAUUUUUAUUAAAUACUUCAUAUUUAUGUAUAAGAUGAAAAUAACUAUGCACUCACUUGACUAGUUAGUGGUUACUAACUAUGUUCUUAAUCGUCGUUAUAUCACACUUUCUUUAUUUAUGACUCCUUGCUCGAAAAUUCUGAACUCUAAUUUCAAAAUUUCUGGCCCUUCUUUAUAUCGAGUAUAUCUUUGGCUAUUAUUGUUUUCUAUCAUAAGAAUUGCUCAAAGGAUACCUCUAUUUAUAUAAAGGAUUUUUGAAUCGCCCGUACAAUAUCAAAAGAUUAGUCACCCAAAAAAAUUACACGUAUAACUUCAAUAAAUUAGAUGUGUACGAACAUACUUGAAAGGUUAACACAUAUUCUUCUGAUAUUGACUCUAAAUUAGAAGGUGUAUUAUUACUUCUCUUUUGUCAACACAUAUCAUUUUAAUUAAUAAAAUAUGUACGACAUGUAUUAUAUUUCUUACAGGUAUGUUGGUUUGCAAUUUACAAAUCAAUUAUAGUUACAUUUAUGGUCCAUAAGUUAUUAUUGUAUUAACACAAUAUAUCAUUCAAGUUACACUGUAGUCCCUCAGCUGCAUGGAGCCCCUAAUAAGAAUAAAGAACAAGUAAGAGACGAUCACCCACUUAUUUGUUUGGAUCGGUCCGAUCCAAUCAAAUUAAGUAAAUUCAACUUAAUUCCGGUUUACAAAACAUUGAUUCAAAUAGUUCAAACUAAAUUCAAAUUCGGUAUGAAUUAAUCAAAUUACAAUUCGAUUUUCAAGAGUCGGAAUGUUUUAAAAUAGUUAUAAUUUGAAUAUUAGCUGACUUUAUAAAAGAAAUAUAAUCAAAUGGUUAGUUGUAAAUUAAAAUUUAUAAACUGUUAAGGAAAAUAUAUUUUGAUUCAUUAGAUAAAAAAAUCUUGAAAAAAAAAUACAUAUUAAGGUUUUUAUUAGGAGAGUGUUUCUAACCUAUUUAAAAAACAAUUCAGUAAAUUAAUAAAUAAUUAAAAGUAUAUAUUAAAAAUUAAAAUAUAUAUAUCUAUUCUAAUAAAUGAAAGUGUUUUUUGUCACAUGUUACACUCUCACUCAAUUUAUCAAAUGUCAUUUUGUGGUUAUUUUGAAUUAAUUUAUUUUUCCAAAUGUCAUGUUAUGUUUUUUUUUUUAUUUUAAUAAAGUUCACAUAAUAUUUAAAUGUAAUAAUUACAAUAAAUUUAGUAAUAAAUAAAUAUAAAUUUCAUUAAUGGAUAAAAAAAUCAAUUUUAAAAGAUAAAAAAAAUCAAUUUUUAUAAUUCAUUAUUUUUUUUUUAUAAAUUCAAAGUUCUUAAAUAUUUAGACAUUUAUAAUUAAUUUUUUUGAUUAACUCAUAUAAUCCAUGAGUCUUAUAGUUUACAAAAUAUUUAUCAAAUAAAGAUAUACUUGCAUGCUGUAAGAUAAUUUUUUUUACUAAUUUACCACCCCGGCCUUUCUAACAAUAAUUUGUAUUAUAUAAAAGACAAUGUUUUCUAAAUAAAUAAAAGAUAUUAGUUUAUUUUAUAUAUAGACAACCACAUAUCAUUUCCAUAUAUAACAUGAUGGUUGUUCAGAUCCGUGAUUAUUUAAUUUAAACUAUUAAAUAUGUAUUUUAUGAGUCGGUGAUUUCUAACACUAUUAAAAAAAGGGACAUUGUAACGAAACUAAAAGGCCGAGUUUCCUGUAAGCAGCUGACUGAAGCCAGACAGUCAAGCCAAGCUGAUUCUCCCCGCUCUCGACCAAAAUCUAUUACUAUUUUCAUCAUCACCGACACCCUCCCCCUCUCUUUUCUUAACAAAUCAAUACAAAUGAUUAAUAUGCAGUAAUCAUCGAAAGUGAGAUCAAGAAUGGGCCCUUUUCUUCUCACGCCAAUGCCCAUCAAACUUCAUUGAUUAUCAAGUUCCUUCAAAUUCAAAUCAAGAACGAAAAAAUCAAUUUCUAUCAUCUGGGGCUCUUCUUUAGUCCCCUGUUUCUACUUUAAUUGGAAUACAUGGAGGCAAAUGCAGGAUUAGUUGCCGGAUCUCAUAAGAGGAACGAGUUGGUGAGAAUAAGACAUGAUUCCGAUGGAGGGGUAUGUGUUCUUUCGAUUUUUCUUGAAUACCCUUUUGGAUUUUGAGUGUUCAGAAAUCAAUUUUAUCGACUCUUGUAUAGAUCUAAGUGAUUUAACAGUAGGCUAUUUUGUUUAACCCAAGUUUGUUUAUUUUGUUUGGAUCUGAGUGAUCAGUGUGACCAGUGAGCUCAGUAAUGAGUGAUGAUACGACUUUUGACUUAUUAAUCCUACCUUUUUGUUAAAUCUUCAAAGAGGGUUUUUUGUUAAAUUUGUGGAUUUAGAUCUGAAUCAUCGAGAUGAAAGUUUCUGUUUUCAGCGCCCAUCUUGAUUAAUUUGACAAAAUUUUCAGCUUUAGCACAUGAUGAUUUCUUAAAUUAUUUAAUUUUGAUUGUGACGUUGAGUGUUGAUGAUGCAGCCGAAGCCUUUAAAGAAUAUGAAUGGACAGAUAUGUCAAAUCUGUGGCGACACCGUCGGCCUGACUGAAAACGGCGACGUUUUUGUUGCUUGCAACGAGUGCGCAUUCCCGGUUUGUAGACCCUGCUACGAGUACGAAAGAAGAGACGGAAAUCAAGCAUGCCCUCAAUGCAAAACUCGAUACAAAAGACACAAAGGUUAGUUUUUGAGUUUUUGUUCGUAUCAAGAACACAUCAAACAUAUGAUUUUUGUAAGAAUUAAAGAGAGAUACAAAUGUUUUUAGGGAGUCCCCGAGUUGACGGUGAUGAUGACGAGGACGAUGUUGAUGACCUGGAAAACGAGUUUGAUUAUGCACAAGGGAGACGACAAUGGCAAGGAGAAGAUCCGGAUCUUUCUUCAUCUUCUAGAAGACAUGAAUCACAGCAACCAGUUCCCCUUCUCACUAAUGGCCAACAAGUAAGAAAAUUACUUAUAUACCCUUUUGUUCUAAGCAUUACCUUUUUAACUAAAUUCAGAGUGUUAUUUUCAGGUAUCUGGUGAAAUCCCAAUUGCCACACCGGACAAUCUAUCUGUAAGAAGUACAUCGGGUCCAUUAGGCCCUGGUGACAAGCCUGUCCGCUAUAUGGAUCCAAGACAACCAGGUUACUUUCUUUUUUUUUUUUUUUUUUUUUAAAAAAAAAGUAUUAUUAUUAAUCAGAUAAUGUUGUAGUAAUUAUGCUAAUGAUGCCCUUUUAAUAAAUAGUUCCUGUAAGAAUUGUGGACCCAUCAAAGGAUUUAAAUUCAUAUGGGCUUGGGAAUGUGGACUGGAAGGAAAGGGUAGAAGGCUGGAAACUAAAACAAGACAAAAACAUAAUGCAAAUGGCAAACAGAUACAAUGGCGGUGAAGGGAGAGGAGGUGAGAUUGAAGGCACGGGAUCAAAUGGAGAAGAAUUGCAACUGUAAGUAGUAAACUAAAGGGUACUUUAGGAAUAUCAUAUUUGUCGACUUAUGAUUUGACUUUUUUUUUUUUUUUUUUUUUUUUUUUUUUUUANUUUGUUUUGUUUUUUUUUUUUUUUUUUUUUUUUUUUUUUUUUUUUUUUUUAAAUAUAUAUAGGGUUGAUGAUCCAAGACAAUUAAUGAGCCGUGUGGUGCCUAUUUCAUCUUCUCAUUUGACUCCAUAUCGAGUUGUGAUUAUAUUGCGAUUGAUUAUUUUGGGAUUUUUCUUGCAAUAUCGGUUGACUCAUCCUGUUAAUGAUGCGUAUCCUUUGUGGCUUGUAUCUGUUAUUUGUGAGGUGUGGUUUGCUUUUUCUUGGCUUCUUGAUCAAUUUCCAAAAUGGUCCCCCGUUGAACGUGAGACCUUCCUUGAUCGCCUUGCAUUGAGGUAAGUAAGUAAUGGGAUUUAGAUUUUGGGCUAAUUGCAAGAAAUAGCAAUGUACUUUCAUUUGUAGUCAUCAUCAUGGGCAAUUAGGUAAUUUUAGCUUAAACAAUGAAAAUUUGUUGUUUUGUAGGUUUGAUAGGGAAGGAGAGCCUUCACAAUUGGCACCUAUAGAUGUCUUUGUGAGUACAGUGGAUCCAUUAAAAGAGCCUCCUCUCAUCACUGCAAACACAGUGUUGUCUAUUCUUGCUGUGGAGUAUCCUGUUGACAAAGUCUCCUGCUAUGUAUCUGAUGAUGGAUCUGCUAUGCUUACAUUUGAGUCUCUUUCUGAGACAGCAGAGUUUGCAAAAAAGUGGGUCCCAUUCUGCAAGAAGCAUAGCAUCGAGCCCAGAGCCCCUGAGUUUUAUUUUGCUCAAAAGAUAGAUUACUUGAAGGACAAGAUCCAGCCUUCUUUCGUCAAAGAACGUAGAGCAAUGAAGGUGAGUUUUACCACUUUUAUGUUUUAUGUUUUAUGAUUUCUUCCAGUGUUUUACCAAAUACCUAAAACACCCUUUUAUGGCAGAGAGAAUACGAAGAAUUCAAAGUUCGGGUCAAUGCACUUGUAGCAAAAGCACAAAAGAUGCCGGAAGAAGGCUGGUCUAUGCAGGAUGGAACUCCUUGGCCUGGAAACAACCCCCGUGAUCAUCCUGGAAUGAUUCAGGUAUUUGAAUGAUUGUUUGGUUGCUGAAAAUUUGUAUAUCAACAGUUGAUUGUUGACUUCUCUUGUUUAUGAUGAUUGGAAUUGGAUAGGUGUUCUUGGGGCACAGUGGAGGUUGCGAUACAGAUGGAAAUGAGCUACCUCGUCUUGUUUACGUGUCCCGUGAAAAACGUCCUGGGUUUCAACAUCACAAGAAAGCCGGUGCCAUGAAUGCUUUGGUAUGGAUCUCUUAAAAAAACAUGGAAAUUUUUUGUGUUUAUUGGUUGUUUAUGGAUGCGAUGCAAUUUGGUGUUACAGAUUAGGGUUUCGGCGGUUUUGACGAAUGGCGCGUACCUUUUGAACGUCGAUUGUGAUCACUACUUCAACAACAGCAAAGCUCUAAAAGAAGCCAUGUGUUUCAUGAUGGAUCCUGCCUAUGGAAAGAAGACAUGCUAUGUUCAAUUCCCACAGAGAUUCGACGGGAUUGAUUUACACGAUCGAUAUGCUAAUCGCAAUAUCGUCUUCUUCGAUGUGCUUUUCUGAACUUUACAGAGUCAAACUUAAAAAAAAAAAUUCAAAUUCAAAUUCCGAUCUUGUUGGGAUUUCAAAAAUCAAAAAUUGACAUUUCUAUAUAUAUAUAUUUUGUACAGAUUAACUUGAAAGGGCUGGAUGGGAUUCAGGGGCCGGUUUACGUGGGAACUGGUUGCUGUUUCAAUCGACGAGCUCUGUAUGGAUACGACCCUGUUUUAACAGAGGCUGAUUUAGAACCAAAUAUCAUUGUGAAAAGCUGUUGUGGUUCACGAAAGAAGUCGAGAAACGUUAACAAGAAGUACGUGGAUAAAAAAGCAGUGAUGAAAAGAACGGAAUCCAACACUCCAAUUUUAAACAUGGAUGAUAUCGAUGAGGGUGUUGAAGGUUUGAUUUUGAGUCUUUCACUUUAGUUUGUGGGUCCAGUGAAUCAUUAAUGUUGACUAAAUUCUUUUGUUUUUGAAAGGGUAUGAUGAAGAUAGAUCGUUACUAAUAUCGCAAAAGAGCUUAGAGAAGCGAUUUGGUCAAUCUCCUGUAUUUGUUGCUGCAACUUUCAUGGAGAUGGGAGGAAUUCCCCCCACUACCAAUCCAGCUACCCUUUUGAAGGAAGCAAUACAUGUUAUUAGCUGUGGUUAUGAGGAUAAAACCGAGUGGGGUAAAGAGGUAAUUUUACCCUUCUAGCUUCCGAUUCUUGUUAUACAUGGUCAUCGGAAAAACAAUAAUCUUCAUGUUAUUUUGUUUUGUGUACAAAUGCAAGCAGAUUGGAUGGAUUUAUGGGUCUGUGACAGAAGAUAUUUUAACUGGAUUCAAGAUGCACACAAGAGGAUGGAUCUCAAUAUAUUGCAUGCCACAACGUCCGGCUUUCAAGGGUUCUGCUCCGAUCAAUCUUUCCGAUCGUCUGAACCAGGUCCUCCGGUGGGCUUUAGGUUCAAUCGAGAUUUUACUCAGUAGACAUUGCCCCAUCUGGUAUGGGUAUAAUGGUAAAUUAAAACUCCUGGAGAGGCUCGCAUACAUAAACACCAUCGUCUAUCCCCUCACCUCCAUCCCUCUUCUAGCCUACUGUGUACUUCCGGCCGUCUGCCUUCUCACCGGAAAAUUCAUCAUCCCCGAGGUACGUUAAUCAUGCUUUAUGAGUUGUACGAUAUGCAUGAAUGUUUGUACAUGUUGAAAAUUGGGGGUUUUGCAACAGAUAAGCAACUAUGCUAGUAUGUGGUUUAUUCUUCUCUUUAUCUCCAUCGCUGCAACCGGAAUCUUGGAGCUCCGGUGGAGUGGCGUGAGUAUUGAAGACUGGUGGAGAAACGAACAGUUUUGGGUGAUAGGAGGCACGUCCGCUCAUCUAUUCGCCGUCUUCCAAGGUCUUCUCAAAGUUCUCGCCGGAAUCGACACCAAUUUCACCGUCACAUCCAAGGCAAACGACGAAGACGGUGAUUUUGCAGAACUCUAUAUAUUCAAAUGGACGGCGCUCCUCAUCCCACCCACCAGUGUUCUGAUCGUAAACCUAAUCGGCAUAGUUUCCGGCGUUUCAUCUGCAAUCAACAGCGGUUACCAGUCGUGGGGCCCACUUUUUGGGAAACUGUUUUUUGCAAUCUGGGUUAUCGUCCAUUUAUACCCGUUUCUCAAAGGUCUGUUGGGUCGGCAAAAUCGAACCCCCACCAUUGUUAUCGUGUGGUCGAUUCUGCUUGCUUCGAUUUUCUCCCUUUUGUGGGUUCGUAUCGACCCCUUUACCACAGACGAUACUCUUGAUGCAGUUAAAGGACAAUGCGGGAUCGAUUGUUAGGUAUAUAUAUAUAAAGUUUCUGAUUUGCAAAUUUGUGUAAGCCGUGAUGUGAUGCGAUGUGAUGUGUACGAAUGAUAUAAUUAUUUGAUUUAUUGUUGUUAUCCCACGAAUUCAAUGAAAAAUUUAAGUAUAACCUUAUCUUAAUAUGUCGGUUCAUUACAUUCAAUUAAGUUGAGUUGUAUGCAAAUUUCUUGUUAUUAUACAGUAUAUUACAAAAUUCAAACACUAUCUUCUUCAUAUUUAAUUUCAUGAAUUUAGUCUUCAACAAGUACAUAUAUAUAAAACAAAACAUGAAAUUCCAUACACACCAAGGUUCAUGUCAGAUCCUGAAACAAAAGAUUAAAGAAAAUAAAGUUAGAUGGUUGUAAAUUGUAACCUAAUGAAAUAUAAGAAAAGUUGGGGUUUUACUUACUCAAUAUAUUCAACGUUGAUUUUCUCCCUUUGAGACUUGGAAAUGGCAGAAAAAGCAUCAUUUGACAAAACAAUAGUCGAAGGACACGGCCUUUUGGAACAAAAAUCUACCACCUUAACAUCAAUGGUACCAUCUCUACAUGGUUUAUUAUUUCCACUCAAACACUUGAGUCUGUAUCGCCUACCACAUGCUGCACCGUUAUCCCAUAGUCCUUCGCUCACUGACACAAAUAAGUUCCCCAAUGGGAAUUGAUCUGCUCGGUUGCCAUUGCACCUUGUGGCUACAUUAAAAAUACAUAUAAAAAAAAAUACUUCAAUUUAACUAUUAUUUAUUUAUUUAUUUACAAUGUCAAAAACAUAAUAAUUAGAAUCAUAUUUAAACUUACGUGUAUAAGGAGGCUCAUAGGAUGAGGCAGUGCCAAUUUCACUCAAACCACACUUGAUGUUAUUGAAGAUUAACAAUAAAAAUAAAUUCACAAUCACUCCAAUUCCCAUCGCUACAAAUUCCCUUUUCUUUUUUCUCUCUCUCUGUCAAAUACUAUGGUAGUAAGAUGCACCCCCUUGGAUUAUAUAUAGAUAUCGUAUGGAUUUAUUUAAAAGAUAUAGGUAUAGUUUGAGAUAUAUUGUCACGUGUUUUUUAAUAGAAAUGUGCUUAGCAUGUAUAUAGAAUGAAUGAAAAGUUGGUGAUCAAAUUGGAUAAACUAUAGAUGUUUAAUGUGAUAUAUAUCUACCUUUGCGCAUGAAAAAUGGAUUUAAUAGGUUUUGGUCAAUUGUGAUAUAAAGUUCUUGAUGCCUACCACUAAUUAGUUUAAGGAAAGAUGGUUUCUAACGUAAACAUAAAACAACUUUUCUAUCGUCUCUUUUAAACAGAAAAAAUAGUCAAUUUUGACAAUGGCACAAAAAGGCAAUGGAAAAGCAUAUGUAAGGAUUAUUAGAUAAAACGAUAGUGUUUUAAUGGAGAAAAAUUAUAUUUUCGGUGAAUUUUUUUUAGUUGAUAAACCCAUUGUUGGUGUCGAAUCUAUGAAAUUAUUUUGGCUUAUACGUCGGCUGACCGAUAUGAUUACCAAAGAAAGGUGCAUCCAGUACAAUCACCACUAACUAAAACCAAUGGCUCUAAACUGUUCGCAAUUUUUUAAGGAAGGGAAAUUCAUAUUUGAAUUCGUCACUACAAAGUGUUACAUGAUUCGUUAUUAAUAAAUAUUUUAUAUUACCUUUUAUCAUAUAAAUAAACAAUCCAAAUUUUAUUUUUAGAUGCAUAUUUCACAAAGCUUUUGUGUUUUUUUCGGUUCAAGUUUGUGUUAAAGUAAUUCAAUAUAGAUGGAGAAUGUCGUUCAAUAAAAGUAGUUUGUGUUAAAGUAAUUCUAUACAGAUGGAAAAUGAUGUUCAAUAAAAGUUUAGAAUAUCAGAUAAUCAAAAUUAGUUUGUCGAUAAGAUUUAUUAUUUUAAAAGAUGGGAUAUAUAUACUAAACUCUCAAUAUUUUUAACGAUUCAACAAAAAAGUCUUAAAUUUUAUUUUUUUAGAGUAAAAUCCUAACUAGCGGCAGUUUUUGACAUGUUUACCAUUUUUUGCCAGUUAGCCAGUAAUUAUGGUUUUACUAUAAAAAAAUAAAAUUUAUGACUUUCUUUUUCAAAUCGUGAAUUAAGACAUUACUGUAAAAAAAAAUUAAAGUUUAGGACUUUCUUAUCAAAUCGUUAAAAAUAUAGGGACUUUAGUGUAUAUAUCCAUUUUUUUGUUAGAAAUUUAAUGUCAUUAUAAUCUUUAAGUAUAAGAGUUAUUGAAAUCUGACCAAUAUGCUCUGGUCAACUAGAUUCUAUUAAAAUCAUUAACGUUUGAUUCUUGUUAAAUAGUUUUUUUUUAAUCUCAACAAAUCGACAUUGAAAAAAAUAAAGAUAAUCAAGAAAGAAAGAACCACGAUUGUGUUGAAUUUUUGCAUAAUGAUAAUCAAGAAAGAAAGAACCAGUAUCGUGUUGAGUUUUUUGCAAUCCUAAAAAUGGAGAAUUAAGAAACCGGAAAAGAAGAAAUUGUCCUUCUUACACAUUCUCCACAUUCACACAUUUUUUACCGGACAUGUGUUGUUUGUGUUUGUUGAAUUUGUUCCUCUUUUCAGUUCAAGAUUUGACGGCGAACCAAGAAAAAAGUUUUACAAGUCUUCUUACCCUCUAUCGUUCUCUCUUUUGCAUCAGUUUCCCAGAUUGUGAUCGUAGCAAAGUAAGAUGAUGAUGGUAAGAAAAAACAAUGGUGUUGCAAUAAAAAUCACAAUUAAAAGUUCUUGGGAUAGGAAUUAGGUCUCAUGAGACUGAUAAAAUUAUUUGUUUCUAGGGAAACCAAACCUAUACACUAAAGUCUCAAUAUUUUUAACGAUUUAACAAAAAAGUCAUAAACUUUAUUUUUUUGACAGUAAAACCCUAAUUACCGGCUAACCGGCAAAAAAGAGUAAAUGUUUCAAAAACUGUCGAUAAUUAGGAUUUUACUGUCAAUUGAUUUUAAUAUUUUCAUGCAAAAGACAACUGUAUUACGAAAGAAAUAACUGUUAACCGUAACUACAAUAAGGUAUUAAAGUUAUAGAAGUUUCAAUCCUAAUAACGCAUAAUUUUCACUUUUGGUUUAAUAUGUUUAUAUUAUUUAUCUAAAAAACAAAAUCAUAAUAAAUAUAUUUUGAUUAAAUGUCACAGAAAAACCACGCCCAUGUCAAUUUUGAUUGUUACAAAAUGACAAUUUUUUUGAAAAGAGAUAUCAUACCGUAUUAAUAAGGUGGUGUUUGUUUUUUUUUCAAAAGCUCUUCUAGACCUUUUAUGUCUGCAUCGCGUAGACGACCCACAAACUUUUAGUCCUAUAGACUGUUUGUUUUUUAGAAGACCGUACGCAUAAAAAAAUCUGUCCAUCCUCUUCUUGACGUAGAUGUGAACAUAUGUCUUCUAGUCUCUUUCUUAAUCUUUCCACUAAUCUUAAGAGACAAUAAAAAAGCGCAAAAAGAAUAAAAAAAUGAAAAAAAAAACCUAUCAAACCUCAUUCGUGCACCUUUUUUUUUAAUUCAUUUGCCAUGUAAACACUUUGUAAAUAUAUUAUUUUAAUGAUUUUAGCUUUAUAAACUUUAUUUGGUCAAAUAAUUUUUUGGUAUUCAUAUUUUAAAAAACUUUAUGCAUAUUUAUCCGAUGACUUUUUAUAACAGUAAUUAAAAAAGUUAAAUAUACUACAAAACUUAUGAAAGUAUUUUACGAACGUGUUUUUUUUCUUCAUAAAAUGGACAAUUAAUUUGUUAUAUAUAUAUAUAUAUGCUUAUUAUAUGAUAACUAGGCUCGUGCGUGUGAACAAGUCUCCGUUUGCCACCUAGCACGGUAUCUNNNNNNNNNNNNNNNNNNNNNNNNNNNNNNNNNNNNNNNNNNNNNNNNNNNNNNNNNNNNNNNNNNNNNNNNNNNNNNNNNNNNNNNNNNNNNNNNNNNNNNNNNNNNNNNNNNNNAUAUAUAUAUAUAUAUUGAAAAUAAGGUGGUUGUAUUAUUAAAUUACAAUGUUUUUAUAUAAGAAAUAUUGAAAAAGUCUUUUAAAUUAAAAAAAAAAUCAAUUUAUUUAGGUUUUAAUUUAUUUUAGCAGUUUGUAGAUUUUAAAAAACAAACAGUCUUCUUGCAGACUGCAGACGUUUGGUCCAUAUCUUCUACUGCAGAUGUCGUCCGCAGACUGCAGACAUUUUGCUUCUGAAAAACAAACACCAUCUAAGUUUCAAACGCAUAAACAUUUAUUAACAAAAGACAUGUAAACGUGGAUUAUGAACUAAUGACAUAGAUAUACGAUAAGUACUAUAAAGAGGAAAAAGCAUAGUUAAGAUUGACCCAAAUUGUAAUGAUUAUAGUCUUGCUAAUGUAAAUAUUUAAUUAGUUUUUCUUGAUAAUCAUGAUAAAUGAUACUUUUUGACUCAUGAGUGAUGAAUAAACAAUAGUAUAUAUAGAUUUACUAAGACGAAAAAAGACAUGAGUUUUAAUGAUAGAAUAUUAUUGAAAAAAUAAUAAAGAAUAUGAUCAACUUUAAAUUAGUGCCCGGAUAAAAUCGAAGUUUUAGAAAGUGCUGAUUAGUGGCGAUCCUUCAUUUUUUUAUAACUUUAUUUCAAAUUAAUGGUAAUCAUGUAUAAUAAUUAAUAAACUUACAAUACGCUAAUAUACAUUACAAUCAUUUUCAUCCUAUGUGAAAAUAAUUUUUGACAUAUUAUUCGUUUUCAAAUUAUAUAGAUGCAUAGGCAAUAAUAUGUCUUUUAUGUGAAAUAAUGUGUGUUUUUUUUAUGUGAAAACAUGUUUUUUAUAUAUAAAAAUAUAUUUUCACAUAAAAAAAACCUGUUAUGCAAAAAACCUUUUGGACCAAAUUUAUAUAGAAACAUAUUUUUCACAUAUAAAAACCUUUUUAUAACAAAAAUGUUUUGUAAAAAAGGUUUUUAGUAUAAAUAUGAUUUUAUAAAGCAAAAAUAACAUAUUUCGAAACAAAAUUUUGGAAAAAUAUAUGUAAAAAAAACAAAAUUUAAGAUGAAAUUGUAACAAAAUUUUAAAAUAGGGACAAAAAUAUAAAAAUUGGACCAAAUUUAUAACAAAAUUUAAAAUCUGAGAAAAAAAUGUAAAUUUUAAAACUGGGAUGACCUUAUAGCCGGGAAAAAUGAUGAAAAUGAAUAUAUUUACCUGUAUUCGUAUCUUAAUUAAAAAAAUAAUAAUUUAAAUACUUAAUUGAAUAUAAGGUUAAAAAUAUAAACACUUUAUAGAUUUUCCUAUACUAAAUACUAUAGCAAAAUAUGUGGAAUUUGGUAUUUAGUAACUUUGGUCUCACUUUUGUUAAAUUUCUAUUUUCUAUCAUUUUACUUUUUGAAAAUUCGUUUUUACCUCUCGAUUUUUCUACUUAUUAACUUUGGUCCAUCACUUUUGUUAAGUUCUCAAAUUUUCAUCCUUUUUACUUUUGAAAUUGUUGCUUUUACCCCCUUUAACUUUCAACUUUCUAGAUACUCAACUCACUCAGCAUGAAGUAUAAGAAAAAAGAGAAGAGAGAGAGAGAGAGAGAGAGAGGAAGCAGCGGGCUGAAGAACCCACAUGAGACGUCUUCUGGCGGUAACCACCAAGGCGUGGAUUUGUUACCCUAGCCGUCGCACGACUCCGUGCACCCUUGGAGAGUAAUCAGUGUUAAAACACUAAGUUGCUUGAAAUAAGGAAUUUGAAGUUAAAUUGAAAAUUUAAAUGUAGAUACGAAAACACAUCAUCUUGCUAACUUGACAACUUAACGCCAUCUUAAGUGGAUACCAUAGAAUGACCCACGAGUGGCGAAUUUAAAAAAAGAAUCACAUGGUUCCUAAUUAAGUGAAGCCAAUAAAAAAAAUCAACAAUACUUUUGGAGUCGGGUCAGGUCGGCUCAUGUACCUUAAAAGAACUGAACAAGUUCAAUCGGCUCAUGUACCUUGUAACGACCCGUCUCUGGUAUGUUGUUUCCAUGUUAUUUAUUUAGAAGUUUUCAAGAGGGACUCGGGGAGUCUAUAGCCCGACUCGUCGAGUAGAGACGGGAUUUCGAGCACGUGUAAGUCGCCGACUCAACGAGUCCAUAUUCGAGACUCGGCGAGUCCGCCUGCUAGGAAGAAACCCUAAAUCCCCGGGUUUGCUCACUAUUUAAGCAAUGUUAUGUGCCCCAAACUCGCCUCCUUCACCCUCAGAGAGCUUGAGAGAAACCCUAAACCAUUCCUUGUAUGACUAAAGUGUUUUGUGUGGAUUCUUGAAGGAAAAAGAAGAAAGGACCCAAAAAGAGGAAGUGUAGAGCAAAGAUCCAAGGCCAAAGUCAGAGUUCAUUGAGGUAUGUCUCGGAAUUAUUCUGUUUUGUGCUUAAAACCUCCAUUAGAACACCUCUAAGGCUAGUUUAAUGUAUUUUCCAAGCUUUAUAGUUGUAUGGAUGCCUUGUUGGGUCGAGAUAUCCCUAGAUCUGUUCAUUUAGGAGUUUUAGAGCCCUGAUCUAGUGCCUUUUCGAAGUUUCUUUGCUUGAGAACCCUAGAUCUAGCCUUUAUUAUGCUUUUUGAGCCUUUUAAUCUUCAUGGGUGCAUAUGGGCACGUAAAGAUAGAAUCUUUACGUGUUAAUCGAGCUUAGGGAGCCCAGAUCUAUAAGUUUUAUGCGUUGGAUUCAAGCAGAAUCGAGUUUAUAGUAGCUGCAUGCAUGCGACUCGGCGAGUCGUUCUUCCGACUCGGUGAGUCGAGUCGUGAGUCCCCGAUUUUUCCUCUUUUGAGUAAUGCCGAGUGGGGACCAGUGAGUAGUAGAGUGGACUUAGUGAGCUGGAGGUCAGACUCAGUAAUGGAGGGACUCGACGAGUUGUUCAUACAACUCGGCGAGUCCAAGGCAAUCUUCUUAGCUCAAGAACAACUCGUCGAGUUGUUCAUACGACUCGGCGAGUCGGAUGCAGAUAGCUUGAGUUCUAGAAUCGAAAGGAAACUCGUCGAGUUUAUGCCAUACUCGACGAGUAGCAGCGAGUAGGGUUGAGAAGUGAGAAUAGGGACUAGGCGAGUUGGCGGCCCAACUCGGCGAGUCAGGUCAACUGUAGGUUGACUUUGACCAGGAGAGUUGACUUUGACCAGGGGUAAAAGAAUCAUUUUACCCCAAUACAGUGAUUAGUAUUUGAUUGAGUGUGUUUAUGGAAUUGUAGCCGGAGAGAUACCAGAGCAGCAGCAGAUAGCUUCCAGAGCCAUACAUUCAGCAGCCAGUUUACGAGGUGAGUUUCCUACCAGUAGGAACGGGUCUACGACAACAAUGCCGGCCCGUUUAGCUAGCAGUUAGUUCCGGACUUCGGUCCGAAGCAGUAGUUCAAGGUGCUUGAUGUUGUGUUUCGGGCAUGUCUAUGUGUUAUGUUAGCAGAUACGUGUUUAUGUUAUGCUAUGUUCAGACAGUUCCGGAUUUCGGUCCGAUGCAGCUAGUUCCGGACUCCGGUCCGAUGCAGGGGACAAGGUCCCAGUCAGUUCCGGAUUUCGGUCCGAUGCAGACAGUUUCGGACUUCGGUCCGAUGCAGUCAAUUCCAGACUUCGGUCCGAUGCAGUGGGCAAGGCCCAGUAUGUGCUUUAUUUGUUAUUGUGUGGUAUGCGGUAGUUUAGGGGAGCUCACUAAGCUUCGUGCUUACAGUUUCAGUUUUGGUUUCAGGUACUUCCGCAAGUAAAGGGAAGAACUCGGGAUGAUGCAUCGCACACACCACAACUUCAGUUUUUGUCGUGGGAGUUGAUUCAGUUUCUUAGAUAUGUUUUGAUACUGUUGUGACACAUUUUUUCUCACAGUAUUUUAUUAUGUGAUACUCAGUUUUAUGAUCUUUGUUAUAAUAUAAAUGAAAUUAUCGGGUCGUAUUUUUGGGAUGUUUCAAGUACCUUGUGCCACCGAUUAAAAAAAUUUUAAAAACCGAUUGAAAUAUAACUGAAAAAGACAUACAGCUUAACGAAAAACUAGUUGAUUAUUAGUCCAUUGAUAAAGCGGCGAACGCAGAGUGAGAGUCUUUGGCAUGUGGGCUUUCAUUUUAUUAGAACAACUUGUUUAUUUAUUAAUAUUUUGAGAGUGCCGAUUAAGAGUAGUUAACUUUUUAUUAUCAAUCUCAUAAUUUAAAAUAACAAAUUGUCCCUAAUAACUUAUAUUUUUCUCUUUUUAAAGUGGUUUUUUUUUUUAAAAAUAAAAAUAAAAAUAAACUCAAUGUAGGUUCUCUAUUUUUUUAAGACUAAAUUACACAGAUGGUCCCUGUGGUUGGCACGAGAGACCAAAGAUAGUCCUUAUGAGGAAUUUUGGACUUGUAUGGUCCCCGUGGUUCCAAAUUGUUGCACGAAGAGUCCUUAUGACAUACUCCGUUUAAUUGUUGUCGUUUAUUUAAAUCACGUAACCCUCACACGAGGGUAUUUUGGUCUUUUGCUUAUCCCUUCUCUCUCUCAUAUCUUUAUAUGAUCUGCAAAAGAUUUCCCUUCCCUAUAAAAAUUAAACCCCCAUCACUUCCUUCAUUAUUUUUCGUCUCCUCUAUUCUCUCUUCUCUCUUCUCUCUGCUGUGUCUUUCUAAGAAACUUUGCUUAAGAAUGGUAAAUUGUUUUUGUGGAACGCAAGCGGUGAUAGUGACAUCAUGGAUGGAUCUCAACCCAGGUUGUAUGUUUUGGAAAUGUCCUAGCAGUUGCGGUUUCAUUGCCUGGUUUGAUGAGCCGAUGUGUCGAAGGGUUGUGGCUGUCAUUCCAGGUUUGCUAAGAUCCAUGAACAAGCUUCAAGAAUCUCUGCUGCAAGCAAGUUUUGAAGCAAAAAAAGUGAAGAUGAUGCUAGUUUUUAGUUGGGUUUUCUUUUUCAUGUAUGUGUAUAAAAGAUGCUAAUAGUAUUAGUCUGGAGAUGAUGGUUCUUUUGCUUGUGGGUAGAUGAUGGUUCUUUUGCUUGUGGUUAGAAUCAGAUAAUAGUAUUAAUUUGAAGAUGAUUUCGUUUUGUUUGUUUGUGAUGCAAGAAAUGUUCGUAUGUAUGAAUGGAAUGCUUUUUAUUUGGGAAACUUUUAGUCUGCUACCAUUGUAAAAUAUUGGUCAGGAACUUAAUGAGUGUAAAAUAUUGGUCUGCAACUUAAUGAACCGUGCAGAUCCAUUAAAGUAUAAAAUAUGAAAGUGAAAGGUUUUUGUAGGCUUUAGACCAUUGUAGAGCCAUAACAACAUUAGAAAUGUUCAAAAAUAAAAUGCAAACUUUUGCAUAGUCAUAAAGUUCAUUACAUAACCUUAAAGUGCAAAGUCAUAAUACCAAAAAAAUAUCAAAAGAGCUUGCAGACUAAUGUAUCAUAACCAAAAGAACCAUCUUAGUCUAGCACCCUGUGUGAACCAUAAUACCAACAAAAGAUAAAGACACACAAUAACCAACUUAGUCUGACCUUUCUAAGGUACCAAAACAAACAACACAAAAGACCUUUCUAAGGUUCCAUAACAAACAACACAAAAGACAACAAAUCAAACUUUUUCCUUCAUUUUGGAUUUAUCCUUAAGUUUGGUUUUCUCCUUCAUUUUGGGUUUCUCCUUUUUUCCAUCUCCCUGCUUCUUUGCCUUGCUAAGCUUCUUGCCCCCUGCCACCACAUUUCUAACUUCAGUUUGUCCCCCUUGUCCCUUGCAACUCCUAGAGUUGUGACCCUUGUUAUUGCAUUUGCUACAAGUAACUGUAAGGAACUUCUUGGUCAAACUUUUACCUUGAUUAUUUGGUUCUUCAGUUUGAGCUCUCUUUCUCUUCUUUUUUGGUCUCCCCACCUGCAUAAUUAAUAAAUUAUAAAACAGUAUAAACGUAUACUAACUUGUAAAUUGAAAAUUAUUUACCUGUUUAGUAUGCUUAGGAGGUGUUAGUGUUAUGGGGAAAUCUGACUUUGGCCACAUACUUCUUCCAUUGAUAGGUUGAACUUUGUACUUGUACAUUUCAUUCCAUGUGCUUAACCUAUAACAUGGAUGUACCCACUCCUCAAGAGGUGGGACAUUUUUUCCCAGUGCCUGCAACUACAAUUCCUGUCCCUCCAAUUAACCACAAAUUGUUCCCCCAUUGUCCCAGUAACUUGAGUCUUAUCAGCACCAUUAAAUAUGCAAGUGUAUUGAGAAGCAUCUUUCUUAACUCCAUCUAAAAGUUUUGUGGCUGGGGGGGGGAGAGGGGCNUUAUCUAUCACAUUUUGCACAAUACAAAUUCGUUUCAUUAAGUAUUCCCUAAUAUAUUCUAAACAUGUAAUUAUAGGUUUGUCUCGAGCAUCUAACAACUUUGAGAUGAAAACUUCACAUAAAUUAUUCAACAAAAUAUCUGUAUGUGCUCUUCCUGUACAAUGCAACAAAAUAUCUUAUAAGAAUCUGUCAAAGUGUAAAUCUUCCUUGAAUCUGUCAAAGUGUCUAACUGUUGUUGCUGUUGCACAUUCCCAUAAAUGAUCUCUGUGCUCCUUCCCCCUCCAUUGUAGCUUCAUGUUUUCGUGAAUAUGUCUUAAACAGAACCUGUGUUCAGCGCUAGGUAAUAGGUUGGCAAUGGCAGAUAAAAUCCCCUAAUUAACAAGUAACAAAAAUGUUAUUUUCUAAAUGUAGUAGACAAAAUUACAAAGAUGUCAUGAACAAGUAUCAUAAGAAGAUUAACCUUUUGCCUGUCAGAAAUAAAUGUGAAGUUUGAAUUUGUAGAGAGCUCCAAAUCUUCACCUAGACACUCUAGAAACCAACUCCAUGAGCUUUUGUUCUCGGCUUCAACUAUGGCAUAUGCUAGUGGGUAGAUCCGAUUAUUGGAAUCAAGACCCACAACAGUGAGAACCUAUCCAGUGUAAGGUCCCUUCAUGAAAGCCCCAUCGAAACCUAAAAAAUCUCUUAAACCUGCCUUAAAACCCAGUUUUAAUGCACCUAAACAGACAUAAAUUCUCUUAAACAUCCUAGUUUCCAAGUCUGCAUUUGGUUCACUGUAUACAUCAAUCUUCACAAUUGUUCCUGGGUUGCACUGUUGUAAUUCUAAUACGUAAUCCCUGAGAAGGCUGUAUUGCUUUUGAUAAUCUCCAUAAACAUGUUUCUGUGCAAGUUGUUUAGCCCUAAAGACCUUCAUUCUUGACAUCCCCACCUCGUAUAUCUUUUGUAACUCUACACACAAAGCUUUGACUGGGAUAGUUGGGUUUCCUUCCACUUCUUGAAGAAUGAUGGUUGUAAGAAACUUAGGCCUCAUUUGAUAGUUGCCGAUUGAGAAAGUGCUGACUGAGAAAGGUCUGUCUGGGUAAGAAAUCCUGAUUGGGUAAGAAAUCCUGUUGUUUGAUUGUACAUCUGACUGAAUGUGCUGAGUGAUGAAAAAUGACCAUUUUACCCUGCUGUUAUAUAUAUAUAUUGAUGGAUUAAAUUGCUGAAUAAUUAUAAAAACAUACAUAUUGUCAUACAAAAUGUAAAUUACACACAAAUAAAAAAUGUCAUACAAAAUGUAAAUUAAACAUAAAUCAUUUAAUAUCCAAAUAAAAACAUAAUGAAAUUUAAAAUAACAUAAUAAUUUAAUGUAAAGUAGGUGAAAGUAGUCGAUUUGCAAUCUGAUCACGCAAAACACGCAUAUAUUCAACGGCUUCUGGACCCCAUUCUAUGCCUUGUAUGUUUUCUCUAUCAAUUCCCCCACCUUGGACGUCAGGAGUAACCAUAGUGUCCUCCUCAAAAUUUCUAAACAAGUCAUCUUCUAUAUUGUAUUUCCUUAUAAAAUUAUGGACCGCGACACAAGCAAUGACUAUGUCUCUUUGCACUGUAAAAGGAUAAGGAGCCAUUUGUUUUAAGAUUGGGAAUCUCGCCUUCAAUACACCAUAAGCACGCUCAAUAACAUUUCUAAGUUGUGCAUGAGCAUGAUUGAACCUUUCUUCUCUAGUUAAAGGUCUGCCUCUUCGAAAAUCGGCUAACCAAUACCUAGUAUUGCGGUAUGGAGCCAUAAACCCACGAGUGUUUGUAUAUGCGGCAUCACAAAGGUAAUAUUUAUCUGCAAACGAAUGUGACAUAUUAUAUAAUGACACAUAUUAUAUAAAGAAGAUAGAUAAUAAAAAUUAUAUAAAGAUUACAAACCUGGUGGAGGAAAUGGAAAUCCAGAAGUCGAAUUGAAUGCAACUUCUUUCAAAACUCUUGAAUCAUGUGCUAUACCCUCCCAUCCAGCCCAAACAAAGGUGAAUAUCAUAUCAAAAUCACAAAUUCCUAUUACAUUUUGAAAACAUUCUCCUUUUCCUCUUCCUCAAUAACGAGUUUGUUGAUCAACAGGUACAACCGCACGUACAAGAGUUCCAUCUAAUGCACCAAUUGCUCCGGAAAAAAUAUUUUUUAACCGUCUAUGUCGUUCUGAGUUAUGUCUUGUUGGGUUAGGAGUUGUUGGUACUAUAAUUUCUUUUGCAAAACACAUCAUUGCUGUUAGGACCUCGUGAAAACAUUGAUGAAUCGUUUGUGUGGAGUGAUGAAAUCUUCCCUUAACCGCGCGAAAACGUUCAUUAUGUCCUAUAACAUGUAAGAAGAUAGCCAUCUUCUCUUCAAUGCUUAUUGUCCUACUAGCUUGCAACCAAUUUUUUUGGGUAAAAUGGUUGCAUAGUAAUGCAAAUGCCUCUUGUGUAAGACGCAUCAUAUCGAAACAUUGUGUAGGGUCUCCGUAUAUCAAAUCUUAUGUAUACGCAUACCCGCUUGAAUCGUUAUCUCUAAUUCUAAGAAUUCUGAUUAGUCUGCGCCGGUUUGACCUCAACCAAUAAAACACAAGUAAAAGAAAAGCUACAACUUCACCAUCAGAAACCAUACUUGAUCUAUUACAAACAAUUAGGUAAUAUGUUAAAGUAAAAAAAAAAUCAUGCACCAAAAAAAUUAGUAAACAUCAUUAAAAGUAACAAAAGUCGUAUAACAAACGUUGUAUAACAAAAUACUAGUAAACAUCAUCCAAAAAAGUCAUCAAACUAUAUAACAGUAAACCAAAAAGUCAUCAAACAUAGGAUCCAAAAAACUAGUAAACAUCAUCCAAAAAAAGUCAUCAAACAUAGGAUCCAAAAAACUAGUAAACAUCAUAAAAAAAACUAGUAUCCAAACUUUUCUACCCGCACCUAUCAAAGGUAACUAUACUUCCUACCCGCACCCAUCACCCACGACUCACAACUACUAUGCGAAAGUCGUAACCAAACUUUUCGAACAUCAGCACUUUCACCAAAUAGCAAAAGAGCGGUCUUGUGUCUUUCAUCUUCUUCUCCCCAUUCCAUUUUGUUCAAUUUCUCCAUACACGCAUCAACAUCCUUAUCCAUUUCACUUUUUUCAAUUCUUUCAUUUUUUUUCCACUAAUAACCUUACAAUCUUGACAAUCUCCUCUUCAACUUCUAAUGCCCUUGCAUCUCUUUUUUUUCCACCAACUCUUUUGUUUCCACCAACUUCCUUAUUUUUGAACGCCCCGAAGAUUCUUCACUUGCACCUACGUGUUGUGUUGAGGUUUCCAUUAGAACAUCAUCAUCAAAAUCAUGGGGACUAAACUCUUCUACAGGACAAGGGAGUGUAGAAGAUGGCCCCCAACUUUGAGAUCCGGUUGAUGUCAACCCUUCAAAUAGUUGGGUGCAAAGAUCAGGGAACAAUAGGGGUUUAGUUUUCAAUGACAACACGAACUUGUUCAACUGUUUACAAUUUUUAUAAAUAUUAGUAUAUGUUAUAAAAAUAAUCAUAAUAGUAUUGAUUAAAAAAAUAAAUUUAAUCAAAUAGUAUAUGUUAUAAAAAUAAUCAUAAUAGUAUUGAUUAAAAAAAUAUUACCUUCCCCUCUUCUUUCCAUUGUUCAUCGGUCAAAUUAAAUUUAUUUUUUAUAGGAUCAUAUAUAUUGCCGGUUUUGUUUUUGAGUUUCACCCAAGCAACAUACUUUGAUUUGUAGUAGUCAAAGUGGUUUCUCAUUUGCUUCUGAUCAACCUCUUUACCGUGUUCGUUUAUCAAUUUUUCGCGUAUUGUCUUCCAUGAACUUGCCUUAAGCCCAGAACCCUCACGACCAUUAGUGGUUAGUUCAUGGAUACAUGCAUCAAGAAAAGUUUUGUCCUCACUCUCGUUCCAAACCAACAUCCUAAAACAUUAAUAUUUAAAGUAAUUUAUCAUAGUUUUUAUCAAGUUAAAGAACAAUUUUAAACAUAAAGCAAUUUUCAACCAAGGAAGUUAACAUCAUCCUAAAUUAUGAUUUGAUAACUUAUACACAAACAAUUUCAGAUGUCACAAAACAUCAAUAUUCAAGCUAACAAUUUCACAAAAGAUAACAAGCUAACAAUUAAGGUCAACAAUAUCAAAGCUAUAAAAUUAGAAAGAAAAAAAAAACAGCCCAAUUUUUGAUUUUAUAGCUUAUACUUUUGAUACUAAUACAAGCUCAAUAAUUGGAAGACAUGUGAUGUUGCAUGCAUUCCCCCUCUCGCCCACUCUUCAAGGAACAAUUGGAUUAUUAAAAAAGUUAGGUUACCAUUAAUCUUAUAAUAAUUAUUUAUUAUUAAUUUUACUUUUGUACUUUACACAUAAAAACACAACNAAAACCAAAAAAAUAAAAAAAAAAAAAAAAAAAAAAAAACAGCCCAAUUUUUGAUUUACAAACCUACUUGUAUUUUCCAAUUCACAUUCAAUUUCAAUUCACAAGCUAUAAAAUCAAAAUUCAAAAAAAAAACCUUCCAAUUCACUUUCAAUUUCAAUUCAUAAGCUAUAAAAUAUGAACCGGAGAAAAAAACUUCCAAUGUGAAUUGGAGAAAAAAACUUCAAAUUCAGAAAAAAAAACAAAAAAACAAAAACAAAAAACAACUACCAAUUCACAUUCUAUUUUAGAAUUCAUAACAUUAGAAAAAAAAACCUUCAAUUUUCAGUUCUUAUACACAAAGAACUACAAAACAAAACAUAAACAAACUUCCAAUUCACAUAUAAUUUCGAAAUUCAUAUAUUAGAACAAACAAUUUCAGAUUUCAGUUCUUGUACACAAAGAACUACAAAAAAGAACAAAAAAAGCUUAUCAUAUGAACAUACAGGUUGAGAAUUCAUAAUAUUCUAACAUAUACUAAUUUGAUUUCAUAAAGAACUACAAAUUUCAUACCAUCAAAGCAUAAAUGGUAUCUGAUUUUGAAAAUUAUUAACAGAAAAAUUAUCUAACCUGUGUGAUGGAUCGAGAAGGCGUCACUGAUGGCGGUGGCGGAGGUCCGACGAGAUGGCACAGGUCCGACUGGUCGGACUGUUUGGCGUUCAAUGUUGUGGAGUUCUUCCUAGCGGCUGCUGUGCUUUUAGGUCACUAGAAGGGAAGCGAAUGGGGAAAGAAAUAAUAACGACGCAGGGGCAAGAUAAGGGCAAGAUUGUCUAAUUUCCAGUCAGCAACUGUUUAAAAACUGAUCCAGAAAGCGAUUUGGGUCAGCAGAUCUUACCGAGAAAGCUCAAAUCAAACACCAAAGGUCUGACCGAGUCAGCCCAAUUUGCUGACUCGACCCAGUCAGACAUUUAUCAAACACUCCCUUAGAAGUGCACUCUUUAAUAGACCUUGACUGCACACAUCUAUGCUCAUGAACCAAAGUUUUCACCAUCCAAUCGCUUUCUUCAUCAGAUCUAGAAAUUAAUACCACCCAAGGGCAUGUUGCUUUUUGUGAGCUGACUGUUUUAUCCUUGCAUUUGAUUCUACUUUUUGUCCAUGGCCCACCUGUCAUUUUCGGGACCACACCCCUGCAUUUUGCCCUAAUUCUUUUUUUUUUAUCAUUUUUUGAAAAGUAAAUGUUUCUCCUAGUUCGAAUUGAAUGCAUUUUAAUGUAGUCCUUCACUUCUGAUGAGGACUUAAAUAUUUGACCCAGAUGGAAUGCAGUUUCAUGUACUACUCCUGAUGAACAUGUGGUUGGUUUGUUUAACCUUCUCAUUAAUUUCUUCCUCUCAUCUUCUUCUACACCAGUUGAUUCAAAUAAUUGUGUAUCUAUCACCUCCAAAUCCUCAUCAACUGUGACAUCAGGUGCAUUGAAUGAUUGGUGGUUAUCUAGAUUUGGAAAAGAAUAAACACCACUGUGGAAGUCUUUCAUAUUCACUUCGACAUCCUCCACCAUAUUAAGUUCAUCCACUAAAAAGUCACUAUCGUCGCUUAUACUUCCAUCGGUACUAGUCUCAUCACUAAUAACAUCUCCAAUUUCUUCAUUUUCCCCCAUCUGUUGGUAAUCAUUAUGAUCCAUAUAAAAGAAAGGAUCAAAGUCUUCUGAAGGGACAACAUCUUGGGCUUUGUUAAGCUCCUCACUUGCAGGAUGAACUCGAACAUCUUUCACUACAUCUCUAUCAAAAUGUCCAAAAGGUACAACAGACCUAGAAAAGUCAUAGUUCUCAUUCAAGUCCAUUUUUCUACUACAUGAUCCUACCUUUGUACUUGUAAACUUUUUUCGAUUGAGUUCCGGAGAAAUAGGCUCAUUGAUUUCUUCCGAUACGACCUUAUUUGGAGAUAUAAAGUAUGCAUGGAGUCUAGUAGUUCCAUGUUCAGUAUACACCAUAAUCUCUUUAUGAUUAGCAACAUGCUUACUUAACAAAAGUACGUCUGAGUUGUUACCUAAAGGAAGUAACCCAUAAUCGAUUUCAAUCUCAGGAAUCAAGAAGUGGUAGUAGAUAGGCUCACCGUUGAUAUAACCUAUCUCCUUCAUCAUAUCGUCUAACUCAUGUACGGAAAACACGUCCAUGUCUACGUAGUCAACAUAGUCAAUACUCCCACCAACGUAACGUCUUCCUGGGUAUUUUGUGAACAUACCCCCAUGGUGAAUCUUGAAUGUGCAAAAACUACUUAACUCAACUGAAAAACAAAUAAAUAAUGAUAUGAGGAAAGAAUGAAGUCUCAAAAUUGAAUGUGCAUAAAUUACUUAACAAAAUUGAAAGUUGUUAACUGAUCACUCACCAUAAGCUUUGAUCAGGUCAGGAUUUUCUGAGAAUUUUGAACGGACAUUCCACAAAGUUAGAACGAUCGCAAAAGAUGAAAAUGAAAACCCUAGUUUCCGUUUGAUGUUUUGAAGUGAUGAAGAUGAAAAACCAGAGGAGAAAAGAAAGGGAUGAUUUCUUGGGGUAAUGUAAAUGGCAGCUAGAUGUAAGGAUCAUUUAUGAAUAUGAUCAUUUCGUGUAACAAAGCAAAAGACCAAAAUACCCUCGUGUGAGGGUCACGUGAUUUAGAUAAACGGAAACAAUUAAACGGAGUAUGUCAUAAGGACUAUUCGUGCAACAAUUUGGAACCAUAGGGACCAUACUCGUCCAAAAUUCCUCAUAAGGACUAUCUUUGGUCUCUUGUGCCAACCACAGGGACCAUCUGUGUAAUUUUGUCUUUUUUUAAAGAUAGUUCAUAAUUUUUCUAUUAUAUACAUUGUAAAUGAAAUUGAGAACUUAAGUAGGUCCUAGGACCUACCUAAGCACAUGGUGGAUACGCCCCUGUUACCCACACUAACCUCAUACACUUACAACACAAAUGAACUUGAACGGUCUAAGACCAAACCAAGAUAUAAUAUGAAAUGUGUAAGUAUAGUUUAAUAGAUGAAAGUGAGGUGUUGUUUGGGCUUGAAAAGUAGGGGUGAGCAUGGUGCGAUUUUUUGAGAAAACCGAACCGCAAACCGCAAGAUGCGGUUUCUAUAGGGUAAAACCGAUAGGUGUGGUUUUUGUUUCGGCGUGGUUUUACAUGCAUUUUCGGUGUCAUUCGAUGCGGUUUCGGUUUUUAACUGAAAAUAUGUGUUGGUGUGAUUUUUCAUACAUGUGUUGAUCUACCAAAGAAGUAAUAACCCCUAAAGAAGCUAGAGCAAGGCCUAAUUGAAAAUGAAGCCAAUUAUUAAUUGUGUCAUAAAGACCCUCAUGCCCACGUCUCAAUCGCCCUCUUGGAGGGAUAUGUGCAUCUAAAAGAUCUUUCAUACUGUGCCCAAUCCCAAAAUUAGUUCUAUACAUAUGCCCAACAAUAAGAAAAAGAAAUGCAAUAGCUAAAUAAUGAUGAGUCAUAUCAGCAUGUCCAAACCCGACUUUUCAGUUAACUUUCCUUUAUUUCCGGUACAGAUUCUCAUUUAAAUGUAUUUAACAUGCUUGUGAAAUAGUUAUAUGUUAUUCUUAUCAAAAUAUAGACUUCUUUAUGAUAUUACGAUUUUGAGAUUUGAAUUAUAUGUUUGAUGCAACAAGGGAUUUGGUUUUAUAAUCUCAAAUUCCAUUACUUAAUCAUUAUUGUUUAUACAGAUAGAGGCGGCUUUUGAUUCGAAUUGCAUUUUGCUUGUGAUAAGCAAAAGGAAAAUUGUUAAUGGUACGCACUUUGAUACAAAUGUCAAAUUUUAUAAAAAUAUAGCAAAACAUAAGGCAUGCACAGUGGCAAAAAGAACUGAAGAGGUCGAAGUUGAACAAAAUAUACUUUUAUUAAUAAGUAUUAUAAUAUAUUAAAUAUUGUCAGGUUUUUAUGGUGCUGUUUGGCAUUGUCCAAACCGCACCACACCGAAAAAUUACCAAUUAAGGUUGGAUUGGAAUGCAUAAUUAUCAAUUUAUCCUUAAUAAGUCAUAAAUCAACAAAAAUGGCCCAACAAUUUUCUUAAUCUUAAUUGUUGCCUUUGGAUUAGAAAUCAUCAACGAUCAAGAUUGGUUCUCACAAUUCUCUAAUCUCUACUUUUAUGUUGUUUUCAUUUGAACUCAACCCAAAAAUCUCACCAGUAAUCACCACACGAACAAAUCCCGUUCUUGAAAUGAUGAAACCUAUUUGUAUCCCGAAGAAUAAUUUCCCGCUCAACAAUCUUGGAAAUAAGCUUAGCAGCAAUAUGACAAUCCUCACAAACACGUAGAUUUUUAGUAAUCCGUAUAGGCGUAAAAGCUUUAGUAUUUAUAAUCACAAACACAAUAGCAAGCUUCUCACUAUGAACAGCAAGAUGAUUUCCUUUAUCUUCAUCUUCUAUAUCAUGAAGUGCAGAAUCCACUUCAGGAACAUACCCAAAAUCCCUCAUCUUCCCCACAAGUACUUCCAACUCUUGAUAAAUCUGUUUAGAUUGUGGAUGGGAUUGAUCUCCAGCAAGAAACGAAUGAACUUGAUUAUUAAGCUCAACAUUACUAACACCGGGCUCUUUUUUCACUCCUUUUGAUUUCAUUAUUGAACGAAUAUUUGUCACAUCUUUAAAUCUACCUGCUUUUGCGUAUAUAUUUGAUAAUAAAACAUAAUACCCUGCUUGUUCAGGGACCAAUUCAAAGAGAUGAUCUGCUGCUACAAGACCAAUUUCCAUGUUGGAAUGAACUUUACAAGCACUUAACAAAGCACCCCAGAUUCUAUCGUUUGGUUUUGUUUUCAUUUUCUUUAUAAAAUCAUAAGCUUCAUUGAUUCUUCCUGAUCUUCCUAGCAAAUCAACCAUGCACGCCAAGUGUUCGAGUCUUGGAAUGAUGUUAUACUCUUCGGUCAUCAAUUUGAAGAAAUGUUUUCCUUGGUUUAGUAAUCCGGCAUGGCUGCAGGCUGAUAGAACUGGAACGAAGGAAAUGGAAUCAGGGGCGAUUCCGGAAUUUUGCAUAUUUGAAAAGACUGUGAUAGCAGUUUCACCAUCUCCAGUCAUGCCAUAAGCAGAGACCAUGGAAGUCCAGGAGACGACAUCUCUUGUUGGCAUUUCAUCGAACACCUUGCGUGCUUCGUUUAAAGACCCACAUUUAGCAUACAUGUCAAUCAAGGCGUUCUCUACUGUUAGAUUAGGAAGAAGCCUUUUUGUUUUUACAUAUGAAUGAAUCUUUCUUCCUAGUAAUAAAGCUGAAAGAUCUCCACAAGCGGGUAGGAUGCUAGCAACUGUGAUUGAAUCCGGGUCGAUUCCGUAAUUCUCCAUUUGUUGAUAAAGAUUAACUGCAUCUUUAGGCAUCGAGUUGUUGACGUACACAGCUAUCAUGACAUUCCAAGAAAUUAAACUCUCUCGAGCGUGAUUCAUGAACAUUUCUUUCAUAAACAUCACGUUGGUAGAUGAAGUAGAAGUUGUUAAAGCAGGGGAAAGGCUGGCCAUGGUGCCUGCGUUGGGUUUUGAGGUAGAACAUUGCAUCAUUGUCUUACAAAUCUCCAAUGCAUCUUCAAACAUCCGGUUUUGGGCGUAGGCAGCAACCAUAGCAUUCCAGGAGACGAUAUCUCUACUAGGCAUUUCAUCAAACACCUGGCGUCCUUCCAGUAACCGGUUACAUUUUCCAUACAUUGUAAUCAAUCCAUUCCCUACAUAAAGAUUUGAAUGCAGACCCUUCUUGAGAACAGCAACAUGGGUUUGUAAUCCGACCCACAAAUUCUCAGACACGGAACAUGCUUUUAGAACUUGAGGAACUGUAAAAUGAUCAGGGUUAAUGUUGAACUUGAACAUGUUUCUGUACAUACGAAGUGCUUUUUCGUAGAAUUCAUUGUUUACGUAGCUUCUAAUCAUCACAUUGAAGAAGACUACAUCUUUUUGAGGAAAUUCAUCAAACAGUUGGCGGGUAACUGCGAUUUGGCGACAUUCAGAAUAAGCUUUCAUUAAUUUCAGAGCAAUAUGCGAUGCUGAGACGAGGUUUCCAUCAAUAAUUAACCUACAAUGUAUCUUUUUCAAUUGUUUGAUAUCUGGGCACUUGUCCAAGAUUUUGAUACACAAGUCUUCUGUGAUUAACAUGAUUGUUAAGGCGAGAUUUGAAUGAAUUUGAACUUAUAUUCCUUUCGCCAUGUUGUACCUGAGGGGCAAUCAAAUAGAAUGGACGAAGAUAACGAAGGUUUACUUGGUGGUGUUCACUUAAAAACAAGAAAUAUGAAGUUCUAAACGCUAUUUCUUGUUAAACAGAAAAUAUUUUGUCCAAUCUAAAAAUCCAAUUUUUGAGUAAGUUCAAGCUUAAGCUCAAAAAUAGUAAGCAAAACAUGUUUAAAAAAUAAAAGUUCGUUUGAAACUCUUUGGAUAGCUCGAGUAUAACAAUCAUCAUAAUUAUAGUCAAUAAAUCAGGCUCAAACAACCAAACUUGAUGUCCAGCCCUUGAUCAUCCAAUUGCCAACUGAAAUCAACUUAGUUUCCGGUUUUAGAAUCGCCCUAACAUUACAUAAGCACCAACUAGUUCCAAAAGUAGUUUUUAAUUCAAUGUCUCCCAUACCCGUGACUUCAAGGGUUUCCAUGUUACCCAACCUUACCAACUUAAGAUAAGUUCUUUACUUCAAUUACUAUAACAGAUCGAUGAGUCAUGUUCUAAUGACCUCUCGUCAUAUGAUGCAAUGCUUAGACUCGAGUCUUUUAAAGUCAAAUUCUAUAAUGAAAUAUACAUUCCUUCAAGUUUCUAAUGUGAUAUAAUCACAUUCUAGCAUGUAUCACUUCUAGCUACAAGCUUCUUACUUUAACAACAAUCACAAUACUUCUAUUGAUCGCUUUGAUUAUCUUUCAGUUCAAUCUUCUGGCUUAAGUCAGAUGCUACAUCGAUCUUGGUUCUCUGAACCACGUACAAUACUUAUCCUAGCUGUAAUCGAUUUGAUAUGACCACUAGGGUCGGAAUAACAAUCAUCUUCUUAGUCAUUACCGAAAUUAUGGUAAUGACACAUGAACAAAACAGAAUCAAUUACUAGCGUCUUGGUAACUCGUGACUUUCCCUGAUCCAAGUGCGAGUCGUGUGCUUCCAGUAGUAUAUGCCUCUACUACCUUUCACACCUACUCAUACUUGUCCCAAGUAUUGUCUUUCAGUUCUCCAAGUCACCAUAAAAGAAUUUCACAUAGUCAUUUAACACAUCGAAUAACAAAACUAAGGUUUAUAUUAUUUCUUGAAACGAUUACAUAGAUAUUCAAGUUCACCUUAUACCAUGCCUUUUAUAUUAGGCUACACCACAUGAUACUAUCUAUAUGGCUACUUUAUAUCUCGAUCUUCAGAUAUAUAUAGAUCCCUACUCCUAAUCCCUUGUAUCGUCACCUGCUUCAUCCAGGUUAGACUUCGAGAAUCUUCCUUUCUUAUCGAAUCUUGAGGAUCCCUCAAGCUUCUUCUUUUCUCAUGCCUUGUCUUAUUCCAGACCCUUUUUCCUAAAUUAGGUUUCCAUAUUCUUGGUUGCUCUAACGGUUGUCUUCAAAGUAGUUGCCAUUUUUACCAUUGCGCCAAAUUAUGCUGGCAAUCCGUUAGCAAAACUAUCUAUCUUGGAGAGUUCAGUAGCACCAAGUAGGGGAAUAACUUCAUCUGCUCGGUGAAUACGGUGACAUACUCAUCAACACUCAUCUUCCUUUUCUUCAAGUUCGAAACUCGUUGUUUAGGUCUAUCAGAUCUAUCUCUGAGCAGUAUUGCAUUUUCAACUGCUCCAUGAAUGCUUCCCACCUCAGGGCUUCUCCCCCAUGGCUUUGUAUCUGCCAAUAACUUCCACCAACUUAAAACUCUGGUCUUUAGUUGUCUGACUGUAAAGACGGUUUUCUGCUUGUUGCUGCAAUUGCAACUUUCAAAUGUCAUCUCUAUCUCGGAGAUCCAAUCCAUGAUCUCUACUGGCUUCGGGCUUCCAGAAAGACUUGGUGGUUUGGCACCUAAGAAGUUCUUAUACAUACGUUCAUCCUUAUCAAUCGCUUUUUUCGGGUCGUUCCUCCUUGCCACUCGGGGUUCAGCUUGACUCACUGUACGACUGUAAUUUCCCUCCUCCGACAAUUCUUCAUUCAGUUCGGGUUGCACGAUAGGCACAAUAGGUUCAUCCCUAUUAUCAAGAAACAUUUUUCUCAUCUCCUCCCUUUGUUCGGCCAUCAUAGCCCAAAUCAUUGCUUAGACUCUUGCCAUCGUGAUUGGCUCGGGUGCAGCUACUACCUCUGGUGCACAUUUAAUCACUCGUGGUUCAGGCUGUUAGUUUUCAUUAGCAUUUUCUAAUAUGUUGCGAGUUCUCACCAUUUCGAUCUAUACACUCUAGAGAUGUUCAGUGUACAGUGACGAGAAUUAAGAUAUGGAAAGCUUUAUUUACGACAGCCAUAUAAAUCUUCUUAUCACUCGUAAAAGUUAUAUACUAGUUCUAAUACCGUAAUUAAAUGUUUGGAAAUUUUGAGCAAAUGACGGUUCAUCAACAAUAGAGCGAAUCUCAUUUAGGAAUUCGUUGAUAGGUCGAUUUCCUUUAGGAUUUUUAGCAAGUUUGGAUUUUAAAGAGAUGAUUCUUGAGCAGGAGGUGCUGGCAUAGCUUGUGUUGAGAUGCUUUCAUGCUUCUUUUGUGGUAAAUACAGAGGUAAUGAUAGGUUGAAUGAAUUGCAUCUGAGCAUGAACCAAGAAUUGCAUCGAAUACUACAUGAUCUUGGCGAUAGCAAGUCGUGUAUUCAUGAUUAGGUUUGGAUUUGUCUUUGUCGAUAAUGAAUUUUGUGGUAGGAUCAGUCACCCAUGUGAUGUAAUCUUCCAGACCUAGUCCAAUAAAUGUGGACUGCACUUGUCGCCUCCAUACAUGGAAGUUGUUGGUGAGUAAUUUGGUAGGAAAGUGACUUGAGGCGGUGAUUUGUAUUUGGGAUGAUUGUGUCAUGGUGAUGUUGAUGAAAAGGAUUAGAGGAGAAAGGCAAGAUGAUCGAUUGACUCUUUAGAGUGUGUGUGCUCUGAUACGAUAUGAGAUUUGAGAAUCAAUGGGCUCGAAUGAAUAAUUUCAUUUACAAAGAUCGAUACAUAUAUAGAUGGUAACGAGAGUUAAAGAGCUAUACAUGGAAUUUACUAAGAAUAGAUUGCAAUUACAUACAAAUAGAAGAGAUUAUUGUAGAUUAGUCAUGAAGAUGUGUACGAUGUUAUAGUUAGAUUGCUUAUUUGCAAUCCAUGUUAGCUAAGUAUGUCAUGUUGAAUACAAAUUGUAUUAAAACAUUAAAGUUCCAACCAUUAUAUGUUGAAGAAGAAGCAAAUACGCCUUAGUCACACCCAUUCUAAAUGAUAUGGAUGUUAUGGUUGUCGUUUCUAUGCAACCAAAUCGUGAUUCCAAGUUGCAGUUGUCUUACCAAUAUAUCAUGUUAGGAAAAGAUGACAUAGCAUGAAAUAUUGUAUGUUACAACAAAAAGAUAUAUCUUAUAGAUGUCUUGCACAUGGGUUAUUCCUUUUUAAGCACUUAUAUAAAAAUAAUAUCACGUAUGUAUGAUAUCUAUUUUGAGAGAUUUUUAGCAAGCAACUCUUUGUCUAUUAUUGUUAUUGGAUAGAAAAAGUAUCAUCUUCGUUGGGAAGAUUUUACUAGGAUUAGAUUCAUAAUAGUUUGUCAAAGAUUUUACUAUUAUGUAUUUAUAAACCCAUGAAGUUUUCUAUUAAAUAAAUAAAUAAAUAACCAUUCACCAUUUAUAUCUUUUUGGAAUAGAGUUUGUUAAAUUCUAAUAUAAAUAAAAAGAGUAUUUAUUUAGAUUCACACAUUACAAAAUUACAAACUCCAAGCAUAAAUCCGAAACUUAUUUUUAAACUUCUUCAUUUAUAUUACAAGUUUUAUUCUUUUUUCCCAACCCACUUGGGGUUUCGAAACCCUAAAAAAGUUCUAUCCAUGGAAGUUCAUAUUUAUUUCUUAUCUUAAUGAAUUUAAGGUCUAAAUCAAUAAAUGGCAAUGUAGAAUUAACCGCAUAUAUUAAGUUAUUUUUGGAAGCUUUCCAACACAACACAGAAAGGAAAUGAUGAGAAUUUAUGGUACCAAAUAACAAAAUAAUCCCGGUUCCUAUAAAAAUUUAUUAAAGCUCUACUCAUGAUUUCAUAAUCUCCUCUAAUAUGAGGGUUACGUUAUUGUAAUAAUAACUAUGAUAAUGUAAAAGCCAUAACAUAAAUCGUCUUAAUUUAAGAAAUAAUAUAAAUCCCAAGAUAUUGUUUUUAAAAUAAAAAGGAAAAAAGUGGGAGUCCAUUAGAAGGAGCCAAGCUGAUUAUUUGAGCCAAGAGAGCACCGAUUUGUUAUCCUUCCACUGUUCGAAGCGAGAGGUUAUCGCAGCUCUGUGAAGCCAGCCUAACGCAUUGCCCUCUGCUCUAGGAACCAAGAAGCCCAAGCCUUCGCUCAAGCCACUUGAUCCAACUCCGAACUUGGAACGGGCAAACCAGAUUUUGCAACAGCUUUGACCCAACCAAACAAGGCUCGAUCUCAGUCCAUCCCACUUUAGAGCCCUCACUUGAGUCACAAGCUCGCGUUACCAAGCUCGGCGAUAAACGAAGUCCAUUUGAUGUAUAAAUAAUCGGAAAAACUUUCUCCUCCAAGCGAUGUGGGAUGCGAAACGAAAUAUUUUCAUCUUCAUUCUCUCUUUAUCUCUGUCAAAUACUGUGAUUACUGAUUACUGACUACUUAAACACCCAUGCAACGGAUUUCAAGUAUUUUUUUCAAUCCAUGGAUUUAGAACUGUAAACU